ensembl:lncRNA
CAAGCUGCUAAGCUUUAUUAUGUUUUCCUCUAAAAGGAUUUCUGCAUUUCUAGCUCAGGGAUAUGAUAGGCCCUAUGCAGUUAUUUGUUGUUGUCUCAUUGUGUCAUUUAAGACUGUAAAUCUAAAUGUCAAUAUUUGACUGAUAUUUGUUGUGUUUCUGGAAGUUAUUUGGUCAUUAAUGAUUCCAGGUACAUAGGUUCCACAAGGUAGGAGUGUACCCCCUGCUACUCCUCAUCAAGAGGAAGAAGGAUAACAUUUUGUCGUCAACUGCACUGUGUCCUCACAGUGGUAUGAUGAAUCAGACCUCAAUGGCAGCCAUCCAAAGGUUGUAUGAGGCAAUUGUGAAAGUGGCAAUCAACAACCAUACCCCCACACUACAACCCUCCUCCUGUUGCUGCCCAAGAACUGUCUGAUACAGUUGCCCCCCAGGAGACCAGCUUCGCCCCCAUCCUCAACCAGGUUGAACCCCUGAUAUCCCCCACCACCCAGGAGACCAGCUUCACCCCAUCCCCAACCAGGUUGAACCCCCAAUAACCCCACCACCCAGGAGACCAGCUACACCCUCAUCCUCAACCAGGUUGAACCCCCGAUAUCCCCCACCACCCAGGAGACCAGCUUCACCCCCACCAAACCAAAGAAGAUGGGGAGAAAGUCCUGCCACCCUCAAAAAACCCUCCAACUCGCUGAGCAUGACACAGUCAAUCCCAUCAAACCCUAUCCAACUCCGACCAAGGAAGAGGAAAUAUGACUACUUGCAAAAAGAUUCUUGCCAAUCGAAUCUGGCAAGUGGCAGAGUCAGGAGUCAGACUUGAGCCAACUCCCCCCGUUUAUCGUGAGGAGCCAAGGAGGAGCUCAGAACCAGAGCUGGUGUUGGAGGUGAGCAAAGCAGAGACUGUGAAGGAGUUAAUGGGGAAAUUGGAGGAGAGAGAUAUGAGGGAGUUGCUGGUUUGGUGCAUGAGGCACGACAUUCGCCCAACGGAGCGUGUCAGGGAUUUAAUGGCACCUGGGUCAGCUCUCCAUACUCAUCCUGAGGUGCGUGCUAGGGGUCUGGUGAAGACUGUGCCAGCCUCACGCACCAGGCCUCCUGUGCAUCUCCCUAGCCUUGCACGUCCUGUGCCAUCUCAGCACUACAGUGCUAACCGUGGCGGGCGUGGUGCUGGUCAGGCACCGUGUUAUGCGGUGGUUCGCACGGUGUCCCCAGUACGCGUGCUUAGCCCGGUGCGCUACAUCUCAGCUUCCUACAUCUGCCGGGCUAGGGUGAAGAUCCAGCCAGGGCGGUUGGUGCCAGCCCUGCUCUCAAGAUCUCCAGUACGCCUUCACGGUCCGUCCAUCCAGUGCCACCUCCACACACCAGCCCUCCAGUGGCAGCUCCCCGCACCAGGCUUCCUGUGCGUGUCCUCGGCCCAGUACCACCAGUGCCAGCACCACGCAUCAGGCCUACAGUGCGUCCCGCCUGUCCAGCGCUGCCGGGGCCUUCAUCCUCUCCCGCCUGUCCGGCGCUGCUGCCGGAGUCUCCCGCCUGUCCAGCGCUGCUGCCGGAGUCUCCCGAGCCCCUCUGUCCCGAGCUGCCGCCCCUCUGUCCCGAGCUGCCGCCCCUCUGUCCCGAGCUGCCGCCCCUCUGUCCAGUGGGGUCAUUAAGUAGGGUCGCCGUGGCUAGGAGGCCACGGAAGCGGACAAGGUGGGGGACUAAGACUACGGUGAAGUGGGGGCCACGUCCAGCACCAGAGCCGCCACCGCGGACAGAUGCCCACCCAGACCCUCCCCAAUAGGUUCAGGUUUUGCGGCCGGAGUCCGCACCUUGGGGGGGGG